GCCCCAUUGGCCUAGUGAAUAAGGCGUCUGACUUCUAAAUGGGGAGCACAUCAGAAGAUCGCCGGUUUGAAUCCGGCAUGGGGCU